GUUGACAAGCUUGUUGUGAGGGCACUGAUCGCUUGUGAUUGGCUCCUGCCAAAGAAAAAGCUACCGUUUUCUCACUGACUCGCGAGGGGCACAGUAUUUAAACAAUUAGUAGUUGAAGUUGAAGUAAAGGAGAUGUCAAGAGAUUAGAAUUUAGCCAUAAAUUAGCCGCGCCACUGUAUAAGCCGCAGGGUUCAAAGUUUAAGAAAAAAAUAGCAGCUUACAGACCAGAAUUUACGGUAUGUUUGGAUUUUUUUUUUUAGUUCAGUGUCCAUUUAAAAGAUGGAGUGUUUAGCUUUUUUUUUUGGCUUUUGUGGCUUUUUUGCAUCACUUUUUUCAAAUGGUGAAUUGUUGACAUGGAUGAUGUCGCUUAAGACAUCAGCAUACCCUGCCAAAGCUAUGUAUAUCUCUUAAGCAAACAUCAAAUGAUUAACUCAGAGACAAAUCCUCCCGAUUCCCACGACGACCGAGGAGGCAGGAAUCAGUGCGACUCUCGACAUUACAGCCAACUAAUAGAGCCGUGUGCACACCCACUCUGUGUGGCGAGAGAAUGUCAAUAAAGGUUUUACAAUGGCGACAGGUGACCGUGUAACAGAGUAUUUGUAUUUCCGUUAUUUCCUGUGGGGAAAAAUGUUGUGUAAUCCUAAAAAUUGGAAACACAAUGGGUGAACAUAUUUCCCCUUUCCAACGCCAGAUUAAGAUAAGGCGUUUAUGACCUUUUUAUUUGUCAUUUACAAAACGCUAACUGCCUCUCCUUAUCCCACUCUUUCUUUAUCUCCAAGGGAAUAACAUAGUUCUCUUAGCCCCUUUUAUGUUUUAUCUUCAACUAUCUGCUCAUCACAUUUUGUAUUUUCUGUCUUCCUCCCUUAGUUUCCUGCCUCGUGCCCCAUGCAUUUACUCCCCUCAUUCUUUCCUCCCCCUUGUUGCCCUCCUCUCCCAAAGGGGGACGAGUGUCAAGCAUUGCCAUAUAGCUGAUAUGAGGGCGCGUGAUUUGCUAUUGUGUACACUUGUGUGUGUGUGUGUGUGUGUGUGUGUGCGCGCGUGCGUGCGUGUGUUAGAGGGAAUGUGUGUUUGUGUGUGUCUGGCUUGUGGCUGAUAAGACGUCACACUGUUAUCCUCCCAGACAGACUUGUGUCGCUGUGACACUUCACAGGCUGAACACAUACUCCAAUACUUUUAGUCAGCUUCACAUCAAAAUACAUAACUAUAGCGCAUACAGUCUCACACACUCUAAAACAUGAUUCAUGGAAGUCGUACGUUAAGCUUAAAAUCAAUACCUUUUCCUGCUUUAAAAGUUAAAUUUGUGACAUGUACACAUUUUAAUCAUUUGAUUGAUUAUUUUUAUGGGCUGGUCUAAAUAAAAAUAAAGAAAACUCAGUCAUUUUGGAAAUACAUUUUUGCAUUAAUCUAACAUAAAAGUGAAUUUAGUCAGUACAACUUAAAAAUCCUUAGAGCGUCCUUUAAAAAUUGAGUACUGGGGUCUUGCCCGGACAUGUUUGCAGUCAGACUGCGCCUGACAGAAAAAAGGAGGGAAACAGAGAAAGAAGCUGGAUAAACAUCAUUUUGCACAGACGUUUAUUGAAUUCAAAGCUUGUUGGAGGACAGUCUGAAGAAGUGCAUUCUGAAAAUGUGGACAAGAAAGUGAGGCCAUGGUGCAGAAAGGUAUGAAGUAACAUCAUGAACGAGUUGUUGUAAUAACAUUUUGUUGAGUAUGCACAGAUCAUUAGUUAAAAGAUGGUAAAGAUCCAUUUGCAGGCAAGACAAACACCAGAAAGAUGGCCUGUUCGUUUUGGCACAGCUCAGAUAAAUCAAGGAGUCAGAAGGAUCACCUCUCUUAACAUAGAGACAACAUUCAUGGCAAAGUUGGACCAGUAUUCCCAAAAAAUAAAUAAUGUCCUUGAUUCCCUCAAGAGGGGCGGCUGCAAAAAUGAAUAGUUAGUGCAUCCGGGACAUCUGGGAUGCUACUAGAGGACAAUUCUGUGGAGAGAAGGGGAGGGGUCGCUAUCGUGGUUUGGUGGUAUAGCUCAGACGCCACUAUACUUUGUGUUAGAGCUGCUUCAAUUCAUGGAAAUAUCAGUUCCUACAUUAAUUGUCAACUUUGAUGAUUUGUUCAUCAAAUCAAGUAAUUAAGAAAAUAAGUCCAAAUUAUCUGAUUUCAGCUUCAUAAAUGUAUUUUCUGCUUUCUUGGCUCCUUUAACAUUUAUAUUUUAAACAAUCUUCAGACAUUUUGUGGAACAAACUGAUUCAUCAAGCCUGAUAAAGCAAUCAUGAAACCUGUUAUGGUGAUGGGGAUUUUACCAGUGAAGUGAUGAGGACUGUGGUAACCAGAGGUGCCGUAACACCUGAGCCAGCCAACGCAACGAUCAUACUUGAAGGAACAGAAGUCCAAGCAGACCUGAAUGCACAAAGAGCCUGUGCCUUGCUAAUGAGGCUGACAUACACACUAUACAUCCGCUACCCAAAAGAACUUGAAACACUUGUGAAGUGUUUCCAAAGAUAUUCCUCAAGCUGGAUGAUCUGAAAACUUGCUACAAAGUACACUGCUGCACUAAAUGUAAAAUGUUGCCCUGUUUUUGGAAUGACUUGUUGUGUUACAUACUGUAUAUUGCAGGGGUGUCCAAAAUUUUUCCCCCGAGGACCGCAUGUGGAAAAGUCAAAGGAUGCAGGGGUCAUUUUGAUACUAUAUAUUUUGUAAAAAGGCUGGAGGAAAAAAAAAAAGACACCAACUUACUAUGUAAUCCUCGCUGCGCAAAACCUGAACUAAUACGUUAAAAUGAAAGUGUCGUAAUAUGAACACCGGGUUCGCUAUGUUGUUUGUGCUUUGUUUUAUGUGUAGUGACCCUAGUCAUGCUACUGCAGUGGUUUGGUGCUAUUUUGAGCAAUAUUAGUGGUUUAUAAAAAAAAGCAGGAAGCUGUUAUUACUGUUAGCCCAAAUGGAUAGCACAUCUAACAGCGUUAAUAUUGGAAAGCUAAAUACUGGCAAAUAUACCAAAACAUCUGCCAUAAGCCUGGAUGGGAAACGUGUGUACAUGCAGAAAAAGACCCAAGGUUCAUUUUACGCCAUACUUUGACUUUAAUACAAAGUUACUCGAAUCAGUCCAACACAGCAUGACUGUCAAAAUGGUCAUUUUUAGAUAUUUUUGCGGGGAUGAUUUCUGCCAUUUAUUUUGCUGCAGUUUUGUGUACUACUGAAAUGUCAAUAUGCAGUCAGGCCUUUGGGAUGCUUGUGGAUCUUUUAAUAAACAUUGUCAUCAGAA